CCUACGGGCGGCAGCAGUGGGGAAUAUUGCACAAUGGGCGCAAGCCUGAUGCAGCCAUGCCGCGUGUGUGAAGAGGGCCUUCGGGUUGUAAAGCACUUUCAGCGGGGAGGAAGGCGUUAAGGUUAAUAACCUUGUCGAUUGACGUUACCCGCAGAAGAAGCACCGGCUAACUCCGUGCCAGCAGCCGCGGUAAUACGGAGGGUGCAAGCGUUAAUCGGAAUUACUGGGCGUAAAGCGCACGCAGGCGGUCUGUCAAGUCGGAUGUGAAAUCCCCGGGCUCAACCUGGGAACUGCAUUCGAAACUGGCAGGCUAGAGUCUUGUAGAGGGGGGUAGAAUUCCAGGUGUAGCGGUGAAAUGCGUAGAGAUCUGGAGGAAUACCGGUGGCGAAGGCGGCCCCCUGGACAAAGACUGACGCUCAGGUGCGAAAGCGUGGGGAGCAAACAGGAUUAGAUACCCUAGUAGUC
rnacentral:rRNA from 1 species